rnacentral:misc_RNA from 1 species
GGAAGGAUCAUUGUCGUGACCCUGACCAAAAUAGACCGUGCACGCGUCAUCCAGCCUGCCGGCGGCGGCACCGUUCGUCGCUCGGCCAAGUCCUCGACAACCUCCUCUCCUCGGAGUGGGGGCUCGGGGUAAAAGAACCCACGACGCCUAAGGCGUCAAGGAACACUGUGCCUAGCCCGGGGACGCGGACGGCUUGCUGGCCGCCCCUCGUGCUGCAAUGCUAUUUAAUCCACACGACUCUCGGCAACGGAUAUCUCGGCUCUCGCAUCGAUGAAGAACGUAGCGAAAUGCGAUACCUGGUGUGAAUUGCAGAAUCCCGCGAACCAUCGAGUCUUUGAACGCAAGUUGCGCCCGAGGCCAUUCGGCUGAGGGCACGCCUGCCUGGGCGUCACGCAAAACACGCUCCCACACCCUCAUCGGGUAGCGGGACGCGGCAUGUGGUCCCCCGUAGCGCAAGCUGCGGUGGGCCGAAGAUAUGGCUGCCGGCGUAUCGUGCCGGACACAGCGCGUGGUGGGCGACCUCGCUUUACUUACCGCAGUGCAUCCGGGGCGUAGCCGACGUGAUGGCCUCUAAGGACCCUUUGAACGGUGCGCACGACGCUCCGACCGCGACCCCAGGUCAGGCGGGACUACCCGCUGAAUUUAAGCAUAUAAAUAAGCGGAGGAGAAGAAACUUACAAGGAUUCCCCUAGUAACGGCGAGCGAACCGGGAACAGCCCAGCUUGAGAAUCGGGCGGCCGUGCUGUCCGAAUUGUAGUCUGGAGAGGCGUCCUCAGCGACGGACCGGGCCCAAGUCCCCUGGAAAGGGGCGCCUGGGAGGGUGAGAGCCCCGUCCGGCCCGGACCCUGUCGCAUCACGAGGCGCCGUCAACGAGUCGGGUUGUUUGGGAAUGCAGCCCAAAUCGGGCGGUAGACUCCGUCCAAGGCUAAAUACAGGCGAGAGACCGAUAGCGAACAAGUACCGCGAGGGAAAGAUGAAAAGGACUUUGAAAAGAGAGUCAAAGAGUGCUUGAAAUUGCCGGGAGGGAAGCGGAUGGGGGCCGGCGAUGCGCCCCGGCCGUAUGCGGAACGGCUUUUGCUGGUCCGCCGCUCGGCUCGGGGUGUGGACUGUUGUCGGCUGCGCCGGCGGCCAAAGCCCGGGGGCCUUAGGUGCCUCCGGUGGCCGUCGUCGGCACGGCCGGUACCCGCGCGCCGAAAGGCGUGUCCCUUGGGGCACUGCGCUGCAACGGCCUGUGGGCUCCCCAUCCGACCCGUCUUGAAACACGGACCAAGGAGUCUGACAUGCGUGCGAGUCGACGGGUUUUGAAACCUGGGAUGCGCAAGGAAGCUGACGAGCGGGAGGCCCUCACGGGCCGCACCGCUGGCCGACCCUGAUCUUCUGUGAAGGGUUCGAGUUGGAGCACGCCUGUCGGGACCCGAAAGAUGGUGAACUAUGCCUGAGCGGGGCGAAGCCAGAGGAAACUCUGGUGGAGGCUCGAAGCGAUACUGACGUGCAAAUCGUUCGUCUGACUUGGGUAUAGGGGCGAAAGACUAAUCGAACCAUCUAGUAGCUGGUUCCCUC